rnacentral:rRNA from 1 species
GGGUCAGUAGGUUGGUCGUGCCACCGGUACGUACUGGUCUCACUGAUUCCUCCUUCCUGAAGAACCGUAAUGCCAUUAAUUUGGUGUUGCGGGGAAACAGGACUGUUACUUUGAAAAAAUUAGAGUGUUUAAAGCAAGCUAACGCUUGAAUACAUCAGCAUAGAAUAAUGAAAUAGGACGAUCGAUCCUAUUUUGUUGGUUUCUAGGAUUGACGUA